CGAUAUAUUUGGGUGAGGAUUAGCAAUGGAAUAGUACGCAGUUACUACAGCGCCAUAAAUUUUGUUGACAACGAGUCCGGUGUUCAGUUUUGAUCCGACCGUGACUCGGGAAGUAGUGUUUCGGUUGAUCUACAUAUUUUUAAAAAGUGCUUGACAAUCGGUAGCUAGUGAAAAAACUAUAUCAGUGUAAAUUUUGUGAAUUCCGUAACUCGGAGAUUUUUCCAUAAUCACUGAUUCAUACUUGACAGACGUCGAAGGUGCCUGGUUCUUCCAGAUGCGGUUCAACUCUGAAUUACUAUCCCUACGUUGUGCUGAAAAAUUCGUAUAAGGCUCUCAAUUUGUCGUCACAGUGCCUUGAUCAUCGCAGUACCUAUUCAACUUCCAACCACGAAGGACAGGACUUCCAUGGCAUC
rnacentral:misc_RNA from 1 species